CGCUAUCUCAUGAGACUUAGCAAAAAUGUGCUCUGACACCAGUUUACGUAGAGCUUUCGUUCAGAUUGGAUGCUUCUCAAAACUGUCAGCUAAACUUAAUGUAAAAAGUGAACUAGUAAAUAUAAACAGAAACUCGCAGAAAUUCCUUAUUAUUCCGACAAUGGCUGACAUAAGGAUGAUGGCAGUUUUAACAGCUGCAAUAAGUAUAUUCUACUCCAUAAUCUUCAUGGCAAUCGAAUUUACCAAUGUGUUGGAUCAUUCCGUAAACGUGGUAAUCGUAAUGACAUGGUUUACAAUCUACCUUAUAAAUACGUUGAUAAAUUUUGGAAUGUUUGGAACGGCUUACAAUACAUUUAAGAAGGGCCGUUUAAUAUUUUGGUUUGGUUCCACGUUAUUUUAAUUAAUCAUUCGACUCGUGUGCACUAACUACACCCACUUGAGUAUGGUAGUUUUGUUAUUCACAAUUGUUGUAAAUAUUUAUAUGCUAUUUGUACUUUGGGUGUGUGUGUGCGACUAGUGUUAUUGAUAAAUAAAAUGGAUAAUCCAACUACAACAGACAUUAGGAGCAGCUUAACUUCCGUCGCAGUUAAUAAUGAAAUAAUAAGUGUGACUGCGGAUGAAACAAAUAUUGAAGAUCUAUCAGAUAAUCUUCGUUCUGCUAUAGGCCCAUAUCAUGACGACUUACAUAAUGGUGGUCGUGUUAUAAGCUCAAGUUCUAGCAACUUAAACAAUGAUUACGAAAUUAUCUUUGGUACAACCCCAACUUUGGAUAACUUAAACAACGAUUUUACUGAAUUAAACAAUCAUUCUUACAACCUGGCC